rnacentral:lncRNA from 1 species
ACCUGCAGCAUAUGAAAGUUCCCAGGUUGGAGGUCGAAUUGGAGCUGUAGCUGCCAGCCUACACCACAGCCAUAGCAACAGCAGGUCUGAACCGUGUCUGUGACCUACACCACAGCUCACGGCAACACCAGAGCCUUAACCCGCUUAUCAAACCCAGCGUCCUCAUGGAUACUAGUAGGGUUUGUUACCACUGAGCCAUAACAGAAACUCCUAUAGAGCUUUCAACUCUAUAGGAGUUGAAGUGGGGCUCUAGCCUCACUGUGCUGUGGCACCUUGGGUUAAGAAUCCCACUGCAGCAGCUUGGGUCACUGUCGAGGUGCAGGUUCAAUCCCCAGCCUGGUGCAGUGGGUUAAAGGAUCUGGCCACAGCUGAGGCUGGGCUUCAAUACCUGGCCUGGGAAUUUCCAUCUUCCAUGGGUGCGCCCAUUAAAGAAAAAGGAAAGAAAAAUCUCUAGGAAGAUCCUAUCCUACUCUUUCUCCCAAACCUGCUUUUUUUUUUUUUUCCCCGCCUGAACCCCUGGGACCUUUGUGAUUAAGUAAAAUGAUUCCUAAGCAAUAAACAGCAUGCCUCACCAAAUUCCCGAUUUAUAGAGGAGACAUGAAUGAGAUGCCGUAAUUUUAUAAAGAGUGUUUGGAGAAGGAAGCAAGAAUACGGCAUCCAUUCAUUCACUCAUUCACUGAACAUAAUUUAAACAUUAUGGGGCAGUUACUAAGCCAAGUCAUUGUGUUGGUACCCAGGGGACAUAAGACAGACAUGGAUCUUAUUCUCAAUGCCUAAAUUUUCCAAUGAUUAUUGUCUUUCCCUGUUGUUGGCCAAGUUCCACUUCUCAGUCUGAACCAUUCAUUACAGCCUGACACAGCCAGCCCUGUCCCUGGAAUGACCCUCUGGAUGCUACUUCCCUGAUGGGUGUAGGAAAGUCAGGAUCCCUGUGGACUGGCCAAACAAUCACUCAGGAAAGAAUAGUCUCCCCGUUCCUGUUCUCUCCCACCCUUCUCAGUGAGCUGUAAGGAAAUGGAGAAAUAAUGGGCUGGGAUUAGCCCCAGGAUCCCUCAAUAAACAGCUCCCCCUUAAUAAACUGCUCCUACACACCCCUCUCGUAUGUUAAAUGGAAAGAAAAUGAGCGGGUUAGAUCUCUUGCAGUUUCAAAAGAGAAUUGAGUUCAAUUCUAUACGAUAGAUGCUUAGUUACAUCAUAAACAACGGUAUGGGAACACGGAGAUCUGCCAGAGAGACAAACUGUUCCUAAAAGUAAAAAACCCUGAUGUGCAAACAGAUAUUAGCAAAUAAGCAGCUUGUUCCCCAGAUGCUGGGAGGCCAAAUUUCCCUGAAAGGGAAGAAGUCCUAGAAAGUGAAGGACUGGCCAGAGGCUCAGGCUGAUGUCGAUCACCUGCCCAAAGUCUGGUACGUAGUAGGUACACUCUAUAUGUGGUUUGCAGCUGUCCUAGUGGGUGACAUUUGAUAGUUCCACAGGGUACGUGGUGCUCCGGCCCUUUAGCACAGUGCCUGGUUUAGUCAUUCAGAUUUUGAUGAACAAGGAAUCUUGGGGGACCCUUGCUCUAUAUAAAUGGACCAGUCCUAUAUGAUAAUAUAAAAGGCACCACGUGAUCCUGUCUGCUUAAACAAACAAAACAAAACUCUUCCACCAGCCGCAGAGGUUUUACUAAAAUUUGCAAAUGCACAGAGCAUUUACUGCCCUAGAGCACUAUCUUAUGGUGAAGGACCACAGUGAGCCUGGGAUGAUAUUUGCCUUCUGGAAGCUACAUUUUAGGAUGUGCCUGUGUGUGUACUUGGGUAGAGAGGACAGGGAUCCAUUAAUAAGUAUUACGAAAGAACACAGGGAAUCAUGGAGGAAGGAAAUUCAUAUUCCUUGGAGAAUCUAGAAAGGCAUCUUGAAGGAGAUGGAAUUGAGCUGAGCUUAAAGGAAGGGGUGGGGUACAUAUUCCAAGAAAAAGGAAUCUCUGGACAAAAGUAGAAAUUUAUGGCACUGGAGAGCAUAUUUAGGAAAAGGCCAGAAGAGCCUGUAAGAGACCAAUGAGCUGUCUGUCUGCACUAAAAAAUAAUCUGAUUUGGAGAUUCUGGAGUUAGACUAGAAGCAGCUCUGCUGCAGGGAAAAAUGAACUCUGGGAACUCAGGGGAUUAAGACUCAUGCAUUUGGUUGGGGCAGCUCCCAGAGGCAACACUCUUUCAAGUGGUGACUUCAGAUUCAAGGCUCCUUGCAAACAGCGACUCUGCCAUCCACUAGAGCCUCCUUGACCCUCUACUGACCCUCUGCAUUCAGCUGUCCAACCACCAGAGAGAGAGGUCAUGGCACAUUGCCCAGGUAGGGGGCAAAUCACACCCAUCCCCCAUUCUAAGUGCCAGAGCUAGUCUCCUGGCCCCAUCCACCCUGUCUCUGCAGAGACCAAAAAUGUAGAGAACCAUACAUGCAUUCCUUUCCUGUGGCUGUUGUAACAAAUGAUUACACACCUAGUGGCUUAAGAAAACAUAAAUGUACUAUCUUAUAGUUCUGUAGGUUAGAAAUCUGAUAUGGGUCUCACUGGGCCAAGACCAAGGUGUCACCAGGACUGUAUUCCUUCUAGAGGCUCUAGAGGAGACUGUUUUCUUGCCUUUUCCAGCUUCUAGAUGCGGCCCACAUUCCUUAGCUUGUGGCGGCCUUCUUCCACCUCGAAGCCAGGAACAGUGCAUUUCUUACAAAUGUUGACACCUAACUUAAUGAAUAUUUUUUAUGAAUAUUAUUUUGAUUCUUAAUAGUCAAUGUUUAUGCUGUUGUAGCUAUUGCAUUCUCUUUCCAUAUUUCCACUCUUAUUAUUAUUUUUUUUUCACAAUUCCAAAGUAAGACUGCAUGUGAUACCUGGUUGAAUUUACUUAAGGUAGUUCCCUAAAUUUGUUUAAAAUUUCACCAAAAUCUUACCCCACAUUUCAGCAUUGAAAUGAAAGUUUCUGGUGCAUAGAAGUUCAUGCAGACACACCUAGGAGAAGCGAAACAAAGUUUGUUUAAAAAAAAAAAAAGGAAUGAGCACCUUUCCACAGGUUUUGGAAAAGCAACAACAACAGUGUCCUUUAGACCUAAGUUGGUCCAGACACAUACAGUGAAAUUAGAAGCAGUAAACAUCCAGGCAGAACAGUUUGGUGUAACUGACUUGUCCAUCGUGAAGGACUCAGACUCUAUAAACAUGAAUCUGACAAAACGGCCUGGCUGAUUUUUUUCAAGAGGAAAUGUUUAACUAUCCUCAGUAUAUAACUUAAGAAGAAAACAAAAUAUCUGCUUAAUCCAAUAAGGAAAUGCAGAACAGACACAGGUAUUCCUUUAUAUACCUCAAGUUCAAGAUCAGUAUUAAAUCUCCAAAAGCAGUAAAGCUCCCCCAAGACAGCAGCUUCUCACUGCAAUGCUCUGCAUAGCUGCCAAGGCCUAAAGGAAAUAACAAGAACUUAUAUGAAGAAAGACAUAUUUUGCUCUAGUUCAUAAAUCAAAUAAGUUCUGUAUACGUUUAAUGUUUCUUUUUUCCCAAAAAAGUUUUUUCUGCAUCAGUGAGGUGACUUAAAGAAUUAAGAGUAUUUGCAGCAAUUCACUUGUGACACCUCUGUCAGCACUGAUUGCCACACACCAUGAACAAGAAACAAAUGUCCAUGGACUUCAACGCCCUUUCCAUGUGCGAUGCUUCAGAUGCUUCAUUAUCGUAUGGGCCCUGAGUCUGUGGUGACCCAGAGCCAGUUUGCACCAGCUCUUAAGAACCAUUGUACGUAUUUUCCCAACACCAGGUUUAAGGACAUCUCAUGGUUAAUUUGAAAUGGCCACAGUGAGUGUUUACAACACCACUGCCAAAAAAAAAAAAAAAAAAGUCAAAUACUGCAAAUUAGACUAUUUUCUAUUAUUUACUUCCGAGAGCCAACUGCUAAGCCCACACUGGCUCCAAAUCUGCUUUCAGGACUUAUGUGGGCCAACCAUCCUUCUAAAUCCUAUUGGUUCUGUUGUUUAGUGAGACUUCAGGAUUAAGAGUUUUGAAAUCCUACGGCUUUUAGUAGUUUUAUCAACAACAACAAAAAUAGAUUUCUACCUAUUACUUAAGAGGAAGUGCUUUGAAUCCUGCUUUCUUUGCUAGAAUAAGGACAGGAAUCUUCUUCCUUCUUGUUAACGGAUGUAUCCCAACAACCUGACAGCACAUGGUAAGUGCUCCAUAAAUAUUUGCUGAGUAAAUGAAUCAGAUUUACCCAAAGCUGGACCACUGCCUUCCCAGUAGGUGAUUCCACCAGGCUUUCUUUGUCAUUAGUAUUGCAAAAUCUCUAUGGGGGGAAAAAAAAAGAGUAAAACUCCUGCCAAUAACUCCUUCUUCUGCAUGCUCAUAAUAAUUUAGAAAGUACAUAUGUUAUACAGUAGCAUUUAUCUACAUCAUCUCUUUUUUAUUAUACAUAUUGUGACCCCUCCAUGCUAAUAGCAGCUCCAAAAAUGUGAGUGAAUUUUGUUUUAAGGUACGUUUGUUUUAAAAAUAUUUCAUUUAUAGUUUUAUUAUUUAUUUCCAUGAAUAUAUCACAUAGAAAGACUUAUCUUUGGCUGUGCCUCUUAGCCCAGUGCAAGCCCAUUUGCAACAGGUGUGAUGGCCAAGCCUGCACUCCAAGUCUCAUUGCCUCCUGUGUCCUUGGUCUGGGCAAGAGUUCAGGCUCAGCACAUGUUUAUGAAAGCAACAGUGCUGACUUUGCCUUUCAAAACUCUGGAGAGAUUUCAGCAAACCUCAAAGGAAGAAAGGCUGAGUUUCUUCCUACA